UGACAUUAUCUAUCAGACAGGAAGUGCUCAUGAAAUUCUGAUGUCUUCCACAGUAACGAGACUCUCCUGUCCGCGGGACUCGUGAGCGCCCCCUGUAGUGUGGACCUGCAGCAGUACGCUUGCUCUUCGCUCACAGGCUUCACUGCUGCAAACCUGGCUGAACUCCUGAAGUGUCAACUAUCCAGCAGCAGCAGUUACUCCAAGGAGAUCUGGAAACUGCUUCUCAAUAAAGCAAAUGAUGUUCUGGAUCAAGCCCUCAUCAUCUUUUCCAGCGAAGCAGCAAAUAUGUCUCAGCCAAUCAGAGGUGAUGUUGUGUCCCAAGUGCUGGAUGUGAUUGGAGAGCUGAGACUGGAGACCAUCAGUUCUGACCAAUGGAGUGACAUCGAUUUCAUCAGCAUGUUGUUUGAUCAAAAUCUGAAGCCGUUUUUACCGUUUGCGUCAUCAUCCCUACUGCGGUGCACCAGCAGCAAAAACCUCAGCUGCCAAACCUACCAGCACAUUCUGUCGAAGGUCAAACUUGUCAAUGAGACUCAAGGAAGAAACAUGGUGAACUUCUUCAUCCUGCCCUUCCUCAGAAGAAACACAACAGAUGCGGGCUGUGUGUCGAAUGCUAACAACAGCGCUGAGUGGCUACAGAAGAACUUUGGCCCGUUCUCUCGGUUUGUGUCUCUCACAGAUCUGCUCUCCAUCAACAGACUCUUUGAUCCCGUAUGUCUUCACAUCUUCACAUGUGAUUUCAU
rnacentral:lncRNA from 1 species